rnacentral:rRNA from 1 species
UCCGUAGGUGAACCUGCGGAAGGAUCAUUAACGAGUUGGAAAGCGGAAGUUGAUGCUGGUGCAUAUAUCUUUUUUGUAUGUACAUGUGCUCGCCUCCGCUCUCAUCAUCCACUCAACCCCUGUGCACUUUAUCAGAGUUAGUAGUAGUAGUAAUUGUGGUAGCCAUUUGUUAUAUUCAUUGUUAGAGAGGGAGGAGGGUAAUCCGCCUACCGCUUCUGACAGUCGCAAUAAUAAUAAUCUUGGUACUACUGCUACUAUGAACACUUUGACUUUAUUCAUACAAACACCUUGCUUGUUCUUGUGAAUGAUGUAAUGCUCCUUGUGAGUAAAAUACAAAUAUACAACUUUCAACAACGGAUCUCUUGGCUCUCGCAUCGAUGAAGAACGCAGCGAAAUGCGAUAAGUAAUGUGAAUUGCAGAAUUCAGUGAAUCAUCGAAUCUUUGAACGCACCUUGCGCCCCUUGGUAUUCCGAGGGGCAUGCCUGUUUGAGUGUCAUGUAAUUCUCAAUCCUCUUCUUCUUAAUUGGGGAAGGGGUUUGGACCUGGAGGUAUAUGUAAUGCUGGUACUCUCUGUAUCGGCUCCUCUCAAAUGCAUUAGCUGGACUGUAGUUCGCGUUGUUUGGUGUAAUAGUCUUCUAUUUAUAUUCACUACAGCGCUUACUUGGACUGUCUGCUUCCAAUUGUCCGCCUAUGUGCCGGACAGGUACUCUGUUACCUUAAGUCAUUUGACCCCUUUGACCUCAAAUCAGGUAGGACUACCCGCUGAACUUAAGCAUAUCAAUAAGCGGAGGAA